CAAUAUCCUUUCUUAUUGCAAGCACUUUGAUGGGGAGGUGUUUGAUCUGAAAGCCGCACAGAAUCGCUGCUAAUGGGUGAAAUAAGAAAAACUCCAAAAAAACAAAAACUCCCGAGGAAAUGUCAGAUUUGCUAACCAGCGUGUGAUUAUUGGAGUUUUCUUCCAGUCGACUCCAUUCUAAUUAAAAAUGCAUCGUUGCAGAAAACCGGGAAGUAUUCCAAAGGCGUACCAAUUUCCUAUCCAAAUAAACGUUACGUCUUUUUAAACUCACCGCAUUAUCAUGCGUUGAUUAUUUUUCUUCGAUAUUCUUUUUGAUGUGAAAACGACCCGAAAAAGGCACUUUGAUAUCUGGUAAACGCGAAACGCUUUGUUAAUUCGGUUUGAGUGACAUGACCGUCUUUGAACUCGCUUGUUGUCAUAAAUAUUUGAAACGGCUUUUAUGAUGUGCUGUGGUGGCUUCCGCCAUUAUUUCAACCUGGAAGAUUUCUAAUGUUCACAAGAUAUCUGAAGGAUGAAUGGGUCUUGCAAUCGAAUGUGUUUACAACGAGAGGAAUCUGGAAGAGUGGGAAACCCCUCAACAGCAGAGUGUAACAAAUUACAGUCAAGAACAGUGACGAUUGAAAAAUCAAAUCGAGAAACGAAUGAGCCACUACAACUAAGAACAACCAGAGAAGAAGUCUUUCACAAAACUGGAGAAAAAUCUGUCACAAAAUGAAUGCAGUCAUAGAAAGCGCAAUGGAAGCUCAAGAGGAAGCCAAUUCUGGGAGGGACUGCUAUUAUAGAAGAAAUGCCCUAAAUUGUUUAGAAUUAGAUUGGAAUGAUGGAAAAAUUGAGCAAGGAAGUGAGCAACAAGAAUUUUUGGUUAAAACAAAAUAAAAUUUAUUGAUAAAGCAAACGAUCCAUUAAAUCUGGUAAUUA